UGCGUAGGCGGUCGAUUUAGUCGGUUGUGAAAGCCCUCGGCUCAACCGAGGAACUGCAUCCGAUACUGGUCGGCUAGAGUGUGGAAGGGGAGAGUGGAACUCCUGGUGGAGCGGUGAAAUGCGUAGAUAUCAGGAGGAACGCCGGUGGCGAAAGCGACUCUCUGGUCCAUAACUGACGCUGAGGCGCGAAAGCCAGGGGAGCAAACAGGAUUAGAUACCCUGGUAGUCC
rnacentral:rRNA from 1 species